UACCCUACCGCCUAACACCCACUUUAUCCGCUUUUUCUUGUUUGAUAGGCGAACCUUUUAAUGACCAAAAUACCCUUUUAUUGAAUUUGUGUAAAACAAACCAAAUAGUUCCAAAUGGUUGCGUCUUCUUAGAGUUGUAACAUCCUUUGAAGAUUCUUGAAAAAAUAAAUUCUUCUCACAGUCACCACUUUUCUUGUAAACCCCCACAAACCCAUUUGGAAGAAAACAAAAAUUGACAGUUUUCUUUUUUUGUUUUCUGAAGAAAAAAUGUAUGACUUUGGGGAUGAAUUGAUAAUUGAUAGCUUUAAAAUUCCAUGGUUGAUUUGGAUUCAGUUAGUGGUGAUGAUUCUUCUUGUGUUGCUUCUUUUCUUUGGGUUUAGUGUUUUGGAUCUUUCAAAUAACUCUACUUCUGGAACUUCUUCGCAAGGUUCUUCUUUGCCCUCUAAUGCAAUUACAAUCCUUCAGGGUCUUUUGGAAUCAACCUCUCUACUCUUACAAAGUAGGAAUAAGGUUUGUGUUCAUAUCGCCCUCUCCUAAUCUCACUUAUGGGAUUGUACUGCAUCGGAACCUAAACCAACAUGCCAAAGGAGAAAAUGAAGCUAGCACUAGCCGUGAAAUCAGCGCAGAUGAAUCUCAAGAAAGAGAAGGAUCUGCAGAAAAGGACACAGCCAUUUUUAAGUGUUGUGUACGUACAGAGCACCCUUGCAAUUACUUUGGACUAGCCAAACAAGCAUUUCUCAAGUGCUUGGGCUUUGAUUCCGAUCGCGACAAUUGUAACACCAGAAGACAUGCUAAAGAAGACUAAUGGGAAGAUGCUAUAUUAGUUUUAGGUUCUUGAGAUGCACAAAGGUUCAGGUCUUUGAAAGAGUAGAUGCUGGUAGGUAUUUAUAAGUGUAUAUUGCAAGUCACAUGACUUUUGAAGCCUCCCCCCUUCCCCUCUUCUUAUUUUUUCAUAGAAACGUGUAACUCUACUCACCAAGGUUAGGACUGACAGGAAAAAUUAUCUAGUGGUUUUGUGCAAUUUAAUUCUAACCCUCAAUUAUUGUUCUUAGCAUGUAGUAGCUCUUUCAUGUGAGCAAAGAUUAACCUUUCAUUGAUUUGUCUACUAUACAAUUGCGUAUCUACCAUGUAUAUAUAGAAUAGAAGAUAACCAGCUUUUUAUUGAGCACUAUGCCUUGCUAAUUGA